rnacentral:rRNA from 1 species
UACGGAGGGUGCAAGCGUUAUCCGGAUUCACUGGGUUUAAAGGGUGCGUAGGCGGGUUGGUAAGUCAGUGGUGAAAUCCCCGAGCUUAACUUGGGAACUGCCAUUGAUACUAUCAGUCUUGAAUACUGUGGAGGUCAGCGGAAUAUGUCAUGUAGCGGUGAAAUGCUUAGAUAUGACAUAGAACACCAAUUGCGAAGGCAGCUGGCUACACAAAUAUUGACACUCAGGCACGAAAGCGUGGGGAUCAAACAGG